GAUGAAAGAACGCAGCGAAAUGCGAUAAGUAGUGUGAAUUGCAGAAUUCAGUGAAUCAUCGAAUCUUUGAACGCACAUUGCGCCCCUUGGUAUCCCGAGGGGCAUGCCUGUUCGAGCGUCAUUUCACCACUCAAGCCUGGCUUGGUGUUGGGCGACGUCCCCUUUGGGGACGCGCCUCGAAACGCUCGGCGGCGUGGCACCGGCUUUAAGCGUAGCAGAAUCUUUCGCUUUGGAAGUCGGGGCCCCGUCUGCCGGAAGACCUACUCGCAAGGUUGACCUCGGAUCAGGCAGGGAUACCCGCUGAACUUAAGCAUAUCAAUAAGCGGAGGA
rnacentral:misc_RNA from 1 species